rnacentral:lncRNA from 1 species
AUGCAACCAGUUGUGAUCCAACCAUCAGCUGUUUGCCUUGUCCCUGCAACAGACUGGCCACCUCUUCAGGGUGUACCCGCUUUCGCCCAACAUCGGGUUGUUUCCAGCAGCCCCGUGAUUCCUACAGGGAUUAAUCGGGUUCUGAAGAUGGGUGGAUGGAGUCCUGAUGAAGACUGACCAGUUGAUUGAUAAUUUUCCAACUAGAGCCGGUCAGGCUGCAUAAUAGCACGGCUCACUCAAAGUUCCUUCCUCCCCCGGCUCCACCCAGCCUCUUGUCCCACGAUGCAGCCAAUAGAUCUGUAGUGUUAUUGAUCCCCGGGUCGCCGGGGUGACGGACCAACUCCGAGGCAGGGCGAGUUACCAGCUUUGUCCGCGCCUGCCAGCUGGCCUACUCCUGUCUGGAAUGGAUUAGCCUCCUGUUUACGGCCCAAAAGGAUCCUUCACUUCAGCUCCCUCCUUUAGGAUGGAAGCUCAUGCAAACAUUUCACCGGCCACGCCCACAUUGAGUGACCCCCCCCCAGCUGUGGGCGGCCGUGGUGCAGCGGUAGGGCGGUCGACCCAUGAUCGUAAGGUUGCAGGUUCGAUUCCCGCCUUGCACGCCCAUGAGUCGAAGUGUCCUUGGGCAAGACACUGAACCCCACCUUGCCUCUGGUGGUGGGCGGGCGCCUGUGUUUGGCAGCGGAGCCGCCACCAGUGUCUGAAUGUGUGAGUGAAUGUGUGUGUGACUGGGUGAAUGGGUCUGUGACUGUAAAGCGCUUUGUCCUUGUAGGAAGAAAGGCGCUAUAUAAGUAUACGCCAUUUAGCUGUAAAAGCACUUAAUCCAAGUGAAUGGGUUAAUUGAAUACACUUGCUUAAUUUCAAAUUAGGUGAAGUUUAACAUGCUAAAAAAAUUCAAAGUAAAAGCUCAAAGAGAAAAAGAUCAGAAGAAUUUUUUUUUUUUUUAGCACAAAGGCUGAAAAAGAAGUCUUAAAGAAAUACAAGAUGAAGAUGAACACGAUUGUGGUAAUUUUUAAAAAUAAACUUGAUUUUUAAAACCUUAACACCAUCAUGGUCUUGUCUUUGAGGAGGACUGAGCAUAUUUGACCGACUGCUUCCUCUCCAUUUUCAUGUCACAAGCUGUGCGGCCUGGCUGAGCCUCUUGCACAGAAGUGGAAAUCAAAUGUGUUCUUAUUUGAAACCCAUUAGUU